rnacentral:rRNA from 1 species
ACGGGGCGCAGCAGGCGCGAAAACUGUGCAAUGCGCGAAAGCGCGACACGGGGAGCUUGAGUGUCUUGGCAUAGCCAAGACUUUUCUUAUACCUAAAAAGUAUAAGGAAUAAGUGCUGGGUAAGACGGGUGCCAGCCGCCGCGGUAACACCCGCAGCACAAGUGGUGGUCACUUUUAUUGAGCCUAAAGCGUUCGUAGCCGGUUUUGUAAAUCUUCAGGUAAAUCCUGAAGCCUAACUUCAGAAGGCCUGAAGAGACUGCAAAACUUGAGAUCGGGUGAGGUUAAACGUACUUUCAGGGUAGGGGUAAAAUCCUGUAAUCCUGGAAGGACGACCGGUGGCGAAGGCGUUUAACUAGAACGAAUCUGACGGUGAGGAACGAAGGCUAGGGUAGCAAACCGGAUUAGAUACCCGGGUAGUCCUAGCUGUAAACACUGCCCACUUGAUGUUGCUUUUCCGUUGAGGGAAGGCAGUGUCGGAGCGAAGGUGUUAAGUGGGCCGCUUGGGAAGUAUGGUCGCAAGACUGAAACUUAAAGGAAUUGGCGGGGGAGCACCGCAACGGGAGGAAUGUGCGGUUUAAUUGGAUUCAACGCCGGAAAACUCACCGGGAACGACCUGUGGAUGAGAGUCAACCUGACGAGUUUACUCGAUAGCAGGAGAGGUGGUGCAUGGCCGUCGUCAGCUCGUACCGUAGGGCGUUCACUUAAGUGUGAUAACGAGCGAGACCCACAUCUCUAAUUGCUAAUGUAUAUGCGAAUAUACAUGCACUUUAGAGAGACCGCCAUCGCUAAGAUGGAGGAAGGAGCGGUCGACGGCAGGUCAGUACGCCCCGAAUUUCCCGGGCUACACGCGCAUUACAAAGAACGGGACAAUGCGUUGCAACCUCGAAAGGGGAAGCUAAUCGCGAAACCCGUCCAUAGUUAGGAUUGAGGGCUGUAACUCGCCCUCAUGAAUCUGGAUUCCGUAGUAAUCGCGGGUCAACAACCCGCGGUGAACAUGCCCCUGCUCCUUGCACACACCGCCCGUCAAACCAUCCGAGUUGGUGUUGGAUGAGGCUUAAUUCGAGAGGGUUAAGUCAAAUCUGAUGUUGGUGAGGAGGGUUAAGUCGUAACAAGGUAGCCGU